rnacentral:rRNA from 1 species
AAAUCUAGCCCAACUCAAAUAGAAACUUAACCAAAUAAAACUUUAAUAUAAAACAUUUGUAGACAUAAAGUAUAGGAGAUAGAAAUAUUCCAUAGAUGCGCUAUAGAGAUAGUACCGUAAGGGAAAAAUGAAAGAUAACUUAAUAGUACCAAAAAGCAAAGCUUAAACCUUAUACCUUUUGCAUAAUGAGUAAACUAGAAAAUUUUUGACAAAGGGAACUUUAGCCAAAAACCCCGAAACCAGACGAGCUACCCUAGAGCAAUCUUGUUGGAUCAACUCAUCUAUGUGGCAAAAUAGUGAGAAGACUUUAAGGUAGAGGUGAAAAGCCAACCGAGCCUGGUGAUAGCUGGUUGCCCAAGAAAGAAUUUAAGUUCGACCUAAAAAUUACUACCAAUAACUAUAAAUUUAAUGUAAUUUUUAGUUAUAAUUAAAAGAGGUACAGCUCUUUUAAUUGAGGAAACAACCUUAUUUAGAGAGUAAACACCAAAUAAUUUCAUAGUUGGCCUAAAAGCAGCCACCAAUUAAGACAGCGUUAAAGCUCAACAAUUUAUUUCUCUAGAUUCCAUUAAUUCAAUUCUACUCCUAAAUUUAUAUUGGGCAAAUCUAUUCUUAUAUAGAAGCUAAUCUGUUAACAUAAGUAACAAGAGAAUAAAUCUCUCCCCGCACAAGUAUAUAUCAGAACGAAUACUCGCUGAUAAUUAACAACCUAGUAAUUAUACAAACUCUAGACUAUUAUAUUUACGCAUGUUAACCCGACACAGGAGUGCACUCUAAAGGAAAGAUAAAAAGAAGNAAAAGGAACUCG